GACGAACGCUGGCGGCGCGCUUAACACAUGCAAGUCGAGCGAGAACCAGGGCUUCGGCCCUGGGGAAAGCGGCGAACGGGUGAGUAACACGUGAGUAACCUGUCCUCGGCACCGGGAUAGCCCGGGGAAACCCGGAUUAAUACCGGAUGACCUUUCGAGUCUUCGGGCUCGUCAGAAAAGGUAGCUUCGGCCUCCGGCCGAGGAGGGACUCGCGGCGGAUUAGCUUGUUGGUGAGGUAACGGCUCACCAAGGCGACGANCCGUAGCUGGUCUGAGAGGACGAUCAGCCACACUGGGACUGAGACACGGCCCAGACUCCUACGGGAGGCAGCAGUGGGGAAUCUUGCGCAAUGGGCGAAAAGCCUGACGCAGCGACGCCGCGUGCGGGAAGAAGGCCU
rnacentral:rRNA from 1 species